UUGGCCUUUCCCAAAAUUUUGAAUUACAUUUUGUUGCAAACAAUUGCAGGGACUAUAUGCUGUGAUAGGAGCGGCUUUCGCUCUGAUGUAUGCAUCAUGAAAGGGGAUGUAAGGACACACUCUCCCUCUUCUUCAGUCUUCCUUUAUCAUUCGAAACAGCAAAGCAAGUUCAUCGACUUCAUCUCAAUUGUUCACCGAGCCGCCAAAAGGCAUGAUGAUGAGGAACUCCAGCACGAAAAAAUAAGGCCCUAUACUCGAAAAUGGGAGAACCCUAUCAUGGAUAAAAUUGAUAAGCUUGAUCUUAUUGUGAAGAAAGAUACCAUGGUCGCUAACCAUCGGUGUGAUGUCCGCCAUGAUGUUCCCGCACUUUUCUUUUUGACCGGAGGAUACACGGGUAACCUCUACCAUGAAUUCAAUGAUGGGAUUCUGCCGCUGUACAUUACCUCACAGCAUUUCAAGAACGAGGUUGUGUUUGUCAUCCUUGAAUAUCACAAUUGGUGGAUUAUAAAGUAUGAGAACAUCCUUUCUCACCUCUCGAACUAUCCGCCCAUCGACUUUGCUGGAGAUAAAAGAACCCAUUGCUUCCCGGAGGCCGUUGUUGGUCUGAAAAUCCAUGAUGACCUUACUGUGGAUCCUUCAGUGGUGAAGGGGAAUAAGAGCAUCCUCGAUUUCAGACACUUCCUUGACCGUGCUUAGCAGCCGCGGAUAAAAGGUUCAAUACCAGACAAGGAGCAAGGGGUACAGCUGAAACUGAAUCAAUCGGCUUCAGUGCCAACUUUGGGGCGAUCGAUGAAAAUUAAUAAAGACGACCAGAAACACCAGGUGAAGAAACCGAAGCUAGUGAUAUUAGAGCGCAGUGGGUCCAGGGCGUUAGUUAACGAAGACUGCUUGGUUAAAAUGGCAGUGGAGAUAGGGUUCAGAGUAGAAGUUUCGCGGCCUAAGCGAACGACUGAACUGGCGAAGAUGUAUCGCUUGCUUAAUAAGAGCGAGGUUAUGGUUGGUGUACACGGGGCUGCUUUGACCCACUUCCUUUUCCUGAAGCCUGGUUCUGUGCUCAUCCAAGUCAUUCCUUUAGGGACGGAUUCACCAGCUGAGACAUGCUUUGGUAAACCUGCUAAAGAGCUUGGUCUCAAGUAUAUUGGCUACAAGAUUUCGCCUAGAGAGAGCUCACUGAAUACUGAAUACCAUAAAGAUGAUCCAGUCCUUACGAAUCCAAAGAGUGUGACUAGGAAGGGAUGGCAAUACACUAAGGAGAUCUAUCUCGACAGACAGAAUGUGAGCUUGGACAUGAGGAGAUUCCACAAGCGGCUGCUUCAAGCCUAUGACUAUUCCUUCAAGAAAAUAAACGGGCAAAUUAGCUACAAUCAAACAACCGACUUGUUUAAGCUUUGCUAACUACUUCCUUCUC